GGGAGAGUGGCCGAGUGGUUAAAAGCGACAGACUGCAAAUCCGCUGAAUAGAAUAUUCUACGUGGGUUCGAAUCUUGCCUCUCCCA
rnacentral:tRNA from 1 species